rnacentral:rRNA from 1 species
UACGUAGGGUGCGAGCGUUAAUCGGAAUUACUGGGCGUAAAGUGUGCGCAGGCGGCUGGUCAAGUCCGAUGUGAAAGCUCCCGGCUUAACUGGGAAAUUGCAUCGGAAACUGAUCGGCUGGAAGGUGGGAGAGGGUAGCGGAAUUCCCGGUGUAGUGGUGAAAUGCGUAGAUAUCGGGAGGAACACCAGUGGCGAAAGCGGCUACCUGGCCCAUUCUUGACGCUGAGGCGCGAAAGCUAGGGGAGCAAACGGG